rnacentral:lncRNA from 1 species
AACGGUCGGCGCGGCCUGCCACGAGGGAGCGUCCGCGGCCCGCGCAGAGCCGCGCACCAAGCCGAUGGCGUGGACGCAGUCGGGUCCCGCGGUCUGCGCGCGGGCAGGCGCGCGUGGGCGUGUCUCCCUGGCCCACGCGUGUCCCCGGCAUCAGUGUCUCGGCUCUGGUCCAGGACGAAGACUUCUGAAAGCGAGCCAAGAAGCACAGGAUGUCUCUUGGCUUCAGCCAUUCAGAUGAGCGAUGUCAGCAAGCUUCGCCACUGUCAAAGUACCUCUUUAUAAGAAGACAGGAUCUUUUCGUGAAGAAUAUGAGACCUGAGGCUGGGGGAUGGCUGAGAAGGGAAACGUGCCUCUGCACAAGUGUGAGGACAGGAGUUUGUUCUUCCAGAUCCAUGCAGAAACCUUGAUGCUGAGU